AUUGAACGCUGGCGGCAGGCCUAACACAUGCGAGUCGAGCGGAUGAAGGGAGCUUGCUCCUGGAUUCAGCGGCGGACGGGUGAGUAAUGCCUAGGAAUCUGCCUGGUAGUGGGGGAUAACGUCCGGAAACGAGCGCUAAUACCGCAUACGUCCUGAGGGAGAAAGUGGGGGAUCUUCGGACCUCACGCUAUCAGAUGAGCCUAGGUCGGAUUAGCUAGUUGGUGGGGUAAAGGCCUACCAAGGCGACGAUCCGUAACUGGUCUGAGAGGAUGAUCAGUCACACUGGAACUGAGACACGGUCCAGACUCCUACGGGAGGCAGCAGUGGGGAAUAUUGGACAAUGGGCGAAAGCCUGAUCCAGCCAUGCCGCGUGUGUGAAGAAGGUCUUCGGAUUGUAAAGCACUUUAAGUUGGGAGGAAGGGCAGUAAGUUAAUACCUUGCUGUUUUGACGUUACCAACAGAAUAAGCACCGGCUAACUUCGUG
rnacentral:rRNA from 1 species